GAGGAAGGCAGAACAAAGGAAAUAAGAAG
rnacentral:piRNA from 1 species